rnacentral:rRNA from 1 species
UACGGAGGGUGCAAGCGUUAUCCGGAUUUACUGGGUUUAAAGGGUGCGUAGGUGGGUCCGUAAGUCAGUGGUGAAAUCUCCGAGCUUAACUCGGAAACUGCCAUUGAUACUAUAGGUCUUGAAUUAUCUGGAGGUAAGCGGAAUAUGUCAUGUAGCGGUGAAAUGCUUAGAUAUGACAUAGAACACCAAUUGCGAAGGCAGCUUACUACGGAUCGAUUGACACUGAGGCACGAAAGCGUGGGGAUCAAACAGG